CAAUAGCGUAUAUUAAAGUUGUUGCGGUUAAAAAGCUCGUAGUUGGAUUUCUGCUGAGGAUGACCGGUCCGCCCUCCGGGUGAGUAUCUGGCUCAGCCUUGGCAUCUUCCUGAAGAACGUAACUGCACUUGACUGUGUGGUGCGGUAUUUAGGACAUUUACUUUGAGGAAAUUAGAGUGUUUCAAGCAAGCGCACGCCUUGAAUACAUUAGCAUGGAAUAAUAAGAUAGGACCUCGGUUCUAUUUUGUUGGUUUCUAGAGCUGAGGUAAUGAUUGAUAGGGAUAGUUGGGGGCAUUCGUAUUUAACUGUCAGAGGCGAAAUUCUUGGAUUUGUUAAAGACGGACUACUGCGAAAGCAUUUGCCAAGGAUGUUUUCAUUGA
rnacentral:rRNA from 1 species